CACCGAGCUCUUCUUUUUGGAGG
rnacentral:miRNA from 1 species